rnacentral:rRNA from 1 species
AAGUUCCCUUCGGGGAGCGAGUACAGCGGCGAACGGGUGAGUAACACGUAGGUAACCUACCCUCGAGACUGGGAUAACCUGCCGAAAGGCGGGCUAAUACUAGAUAAGACCACGAGGGCUGCGGCCCUUGGGGUAAAAGGUGGCCUCUGCUUGCAAGCUACCACUCAAGGAUGGGCCUGCGCGCCAUUAGCUAGUUGGUGAGGUAACGGCUUACCAAGGCUGGGAUGGCUAGCUGGUCUGAGAGGAUGGCCAGCCACACUGGGACUGAGACACGGCCCAGACUCCUACGGGAGGCAGCAGUGGGGAAUAUUGCGCAAUGGGCGAAAGCCUGACGCAGCGACGCCGCGUGGGUGAUGAAGGCCUUCGGGUCGUAAAGCCCUGUCAAGAGGGACGAAACCUCAUCGACCUAAUACGUCGGUGACCUGACGGUACCUCUGAAGGAAGCACCGGCUAACUCCGUGCCAGCAGCCGCGGUAA